CAUCAUUUAUCUCCAUUCUCUUAGAAAAUUACAUGGGCCUAAUAACUUUUCUUUUUUGUUAAAAUUUGUUUGAAAGCGGAGAGUUCUCAAAUAAAUCUAAUAACUUUGAGUGAUUGGUAAGGAUGUUGGAUAUGUAUCUGUGAGAAAAAAGAGUUCUUUAAUGAAUCCAAACUAACGUGUUGCUUAAGUAUUUUUACCUUAAUCUUUUUGAUCUUUCAUCGAUCUAUGUUUGUUUUCUUUGAUACACUGGUUUGUUCUGCCUUGGUGCAACUUAUAGAAGUUCGACCAUCAUUCCUAGAGUGCCUUUUCAGAUAUUUUAAAGGUGAAUGGAGGUAUUCAAAAACUCCAGCUAAAUAGCUUGGGUAUGGAUGAUUACAGGAGCAACAACUACAUACUAUGUGGCACUGCAUCCGAACCUCAUGGGUGUGACUGGGAAGUACUUCGACGAAGAACUAUCAAGAAGGCUUUGAGAUUUAAGUGAGAAUAUGGUUAAAGUCAAUGAGUAAAGAACAUUCAAGUCAAGAGGAUAAGUAGCAUCUAUAAAGAUCCUUUAAGUUCAUGCAAUAAGAUGUAGACGAUAGAAGUAGUUUUCAGUGUCUCCUAAUUAAAAUUUCUUUGUAUGCAAGUAAUUAUGCUUGUUAUAAAGUGUAUGGAUGAUAAUUUAUAUAUUUAUCUUGGUUGUUUAUUUAA